rnacentral:lncRNA from 1 species
CCUGCACUACGCCCCUGGCACUAUGUAAGAGAAAGACCGGAUGUGGCCUGCACUACGCCCCCGGCAUCAUGGAUUAUGUAUGUUAUGUUAUGUUAUGUUAUGUAUAAGAGAAAGACCAGGUGUGGCCUGCACUACGCCCCUGGCAUGAUUGGAUUAUGUAGAGGGCUAAAUGGUGACAAGUUCAUCCUUGAUAUGAUUAGUUGUGAUGUGAUGCAUUUCAUGUUAUCAUAUGUUUUAAAUGCUUUACUAUUCUGCUCACUGGGC